UGCCGCCGUGUGGGCCGCUGGGCCGCUCCCGAUGAUGCAGACGCGGGCUCUGAGCUCUUCCAUGAGACGACGAGGAGGAGGAGGAGGAGGAGGAGAAGAAGAAGCGGCGGGGGGUGGGGGGGGGGGGGAGGGGGGGGGGGGGAGUGGGGGAGGGAGGUUGGGCGGCGGUUGAUUUUCUGUCUUGCCGACCCAAACAAAGCCAACGAUCUAUAGUCUCAACAACACCCCGAGCUUCUCAUCCGCACUCAUCACCAUAUCAACCACCAUAUUCCGAAAUUGGCAACUGUCUCGCCAUUUUUUUCAGUUUUUUUCCGUUUUAUUUUUCUGGGUGGGCUUUGAUAAAUAUCUUGGGCUUACCUUGUCUUGUGGGUUUUGAGACGUAUAUGGGCUUUCUGUUACCAGUGGACCAUUUGCAAAACUACAAAACUAGCCCAGGAGACAUCGAAAUAGCACACACGAACAUGUGUAAUUACCUGCUUACAAUGUGACGGUACCAAUUUCACGAGAUAUACGUAAACUCCAAAAUAACUCGAAUUUUUUGGUCAAAAAAUUGCAAGCUGGAGCGCCAAAAACUGAAAUCUCAUCCAACGAUCGAGACGAUUUAAGUAUAUGUUCCUCGACAUCUUACGACCAUCCAACAAGUGGCUAUAUAUGCAAGUUUUAAAGGGGAGAGAUUGAAGGAAAGGAAUCCUUACCUUGGAAAGCAAUGUAGGUCAUUGCUUGCUUUAUACAACACCCAAAUAAGAUGCACAAACAAAGAAUCCCCCAAUUGCAAGGGAAAUGUUGUGCUCAUUCCUAUAGGAUAAAAAUGCUACUUACGGAGCAUUCGAUAUCGUUAUCGACGAUAAACACCAAUGGGAGGCACAGAGCUCUAACUUUGUCCAUUACAAGUUCACAUCUCAAUAGUGUCUUUUGAGUAUCAUCUAGGUGGAACCGGCUAUCCCUUUCUACAUCGCUAUUUACAGAAUCGGCCGAAUUGGUGCAACCAAAUCUCGAUUCGUAGCGGGGGACUUUGGCAUCAAGCAAUUGUAGAGUGAUAGAGAAAGGAGAGGAAGUGAAAAGAGAGAACACAAUAGUAUUUAACAGAUGCAGCAAAAAACAACUCGUACCAAGUUAAAUAGUACACAGCAAACUGAAGUAGCAGGCUACAUAGAGUACAAUUCCCUUUUGAUUCAACAGAGCUAAUAAGGUUCUCACAUGGGGUAACUCUCCCAGUAGCGAACCACACAUUGAUUGUUGCUCUUUCUUACUUGUAGAACUCGAAAUCGGUAUCGGGCUUCUUCACGUUGGAACGGUAACCCUUCUCGAAGUCCUUGGGCAGUAUCACGUACCUGUUCUUCCUUACAGCGUGCAUCCCUGCUUCCUGGCAGAUGGCCGAGAUCUGCAGGGCAAACAAAUUGUCAAUAAGAGAUGCAAGAUGACAGAUCCAGCUAGAAGAUCAAUUGACUACAAAUCGGAUAUAAAGGUUCGGGUCAAAUAUGUCGAUAGAGAAGGAAAAAACACCAUUUCACACAUUGGAAUGUAGAGCUGUCAAGAACUAGGUCUAUCGAGUUACAAGCUACAUGUCAAUCGGAUGAAAAAUCGGGCGAUUAAAAGGGUGGUUCAUCAGUUUCUCAGGUCGGACCACGAACUGGCUUGGGUUGGGUAGGGCUAGGGCUGAGCUAGGUCAGGGCUCUAGUUGAAUGUUUGGAGGGGUGAAAAAACAUGAAUCACAAUUCAACACAAAGCAAAACAAGGAACUGGAUCAACGUCAAAGAAUCUUUCUUUCGAAUCUAGCAAAAGAAACCCGAUGCAGAAAACUUGAUGGUAAGAUAAGCUGAAAGAGCAAGGAUAUGCAAGUAUAAACAAUCAAGGUGUAGAAAGGAACCAAUAAAUGGAGCUAGCUAACCUCGGCAGCGCUAAUUUUAUCUGGCCUCGACACAUAAUCCUCCAAAUCAACCUCGUCACUGAGAUUCAUUUUAGCAGUGCAAACCUGUCAAUAGAUCAUCCAAGGUGCAUCAAUACACAAUACCUGCAAGGGUGAAGUUGCUAUAGCGUGCAAAAGACCACAGUAAUCAGUAGGGAGCAAAUGUUAAUACCUGGAAAACUAGCCUUUUCUGACGUCUAUCAGGCAGAGGGAAUUCGAUUUUUCGGUCCAGCCUUCCAGGACGAAGGAGUGCAGGGUCCAGUGUAUCGGCACGAUUAGUUGCCAUUAUAACCUUUACAUUCACAGUCUGAUCAAACCCGUCCAUCUAGCAACAAUAAUAGAAGCAACAAGUCAGAUUAACACAUAAUAUUAAUCAGACCAUUGCAUUUGAGCUAUUGAUACCAAACUUCCAGCAAGUACCUGAUUCAGAAGCUCCAUCAGGAUACGUUGAACUUCUCUAUCAGCUCCUGUCUGUGCAUCAAACCUAGCCGUAGCAAUAGCAUCCACUUCAUCUAUAAAAAUAAUUGCAGGAGCAUUCUCUUUGGCAAGACGGAAAACAUCACGGACCAUGCGAGGGCCCUGGCGUUACAGAAACAAGAUAAUUAUGAUCAAGAAUCAUUCCAGGUAGUGAAAGAAGAAUGACAUGGACAAUGCAUAUCAAGAAUUCCCAAUAACGGCAAGCAGAAUGUUCAUAAAAAAAGAAUACCAACUUCAGCCCUAAGGGUUCCAUUGAAGACAUACCUCUCCCAAAUACUUCUGCACAAACUCAGACCCAACAACUCUUAUGAAAGCUGCUGUAGUGUGAUUGGCAACUGCCUUAGCAAGCAUGGUUUUCCCAGUACCAGGGGGACCAUAGAGUAACACACCACGAGGAGGGUCGAUACCGAUUUGCUUAUACAGCUCAUGAUGAGUCAGUGGCAACUCUACUGCCUCACGAAUUUCCUGCUUUUGGAUGUCACAUCCUCCAAUAUCCUGCCAAAAACCAUAAGAACAUNNNNNNNNNNNNNNNNNNNNNNNNNNNNNNNNNNNNNNNNNNNNNNNNNNNNNNNNNNNNNNNNNNNNNNNNNNNNNNNNNNNNNNNNNNNNNUAUGCCCAAAGCACCCGGAGGAGGAAAAACAUCGACGAGGGCUUUGGAGUGGCGGUGGAGAGCGACAGAAGCCGAGGGCUUCAAAAGCUCGCGAUUGAUCGUGCUGAGAAUCCUGACGUAGUAGUUCGAACCAGUGGUGGACCCAACAAUCCCGUAGUUCUGGUCCACCAUCUCCAUAAACUGCCCGAUAACCAGAGGCACCGACUGGAUCCGCUUGACCUCCUCCUGCGCGCGGAGGUACUCGCGCUUCAGAUUCUUCUGCUCGUCUUUGACGUACUCCUCCUUGAUUUCAAGGAACUCGAGCUGCCUCUCCAGAGACUUCUGCUUGCUGUAGAGGUCCUCCUCUUCAGCCGAGCCGUCGGCGGCGAAGGGUUGGUGGAUCGACGGUGAUGCCGGCUUCGGGUCCAGCACCAUGGCAGCAGAAGCCAUCACUGACUGUGGGAGGAAUCGGAAUUUGCUGUUUCGUUCGGAAUCUCGGAGAUCGGAGUUCGGGCUUUUUCUACUUCUUUUUGAGAGGUCUGGGAGAAGAAGAAUGGUGGUAUCAAGGUCUGG
rnacentral:lncRNA from 1 species